rnacentral:rRNA from 1 species
CACGUAGGGCGCAAGCGUUGUCCGGAAUUAUUGGGCGUAAAGAGCUCGUAGGCGGUUUGUCGCGUCUGCCGUGAAAGUCCGGGGCUCAACUCCGGAUCUGCGGUGGGUACGGGCAGACUAGAGUGAUGUAGGGGAGACUGGAAUUCCUGGUGUAGCGGUGAAAUGCGCAGAUAUCAGGAGGAACACCGAUGGCGAAGGCAGGUCUCUGGGCCACUACUGACGCUGAGAAGCGAAAGCAUGGGGAGCGAACAGG